UUGACCUCGGAUCAGGUAGGGAUACCCGCUGAACUUAAGCAUAUCAAUAAGCGGAGGAAAAGAAACCAACAGGGAUUGCCUCAGUAACGGCGAGUGAAGCGGCAAGAGCUCAAAUUUGAAAGCUGGCUCCUUCGGGGUCCGCAUUGUAAUUUGCAGAGGAUGCUUCGGGAGCGGCCCCCAUCUAAGUGCCCUGGAACGGGCCGUCAUAGAGGGUGAGAAUCCCGUCUGGGAUGGGGUGCCCGCGCCCGUGUGAAGCUCCUUCGACGAGUCGAGUUGUUUGGGAAUGCAGCUCUAAAUGGGUGGUAAAUUUCAUCUAAAGCUAAAUACUGGCCGGAGACCGAUAGCGCACAAGUAGAGUGAUCGAAAGAUGAAAAGCACUUUGAAAAGAGAGUUAAACAGCACGUGAAAUUGUUGAAAGGGAAGCGCUUGCGACCAGACUCGCCCGCGGGGUUCAGCCGGCAUUCGUGCCGGUGUACUUCCCCACGGGCGGGCCAGCGUCGGUUUGGGCGGCCGGUCAAAGGCCCUCGGAAUGUAACGCCCCCCGGGGCGUCUUAUAGCCGAGGGUGCCAUGCGGCCAGCCCGGACCGAGGAACGCGCUUCGGCUCGGACGCUGGCAUAAUGGUCGUAAGCGACC
rnacentral:rRNA from 1 species